rnacentral:rRNA from 1 species
CACGGAGGGUGCAAGCGUUGUCCGGAAUCACUGGGCGUAAAGCGCACGUAGGCGGCUUUCUAAGUCAGGGGUGAAAUCCUGGAGCUCAACUCCAGAACUGCCUUUGAUACUGGAGAGCUUGAGUCCGGAAGAGGUGAGUGGAACUCCGAGUGUAGAGGUGAAAUUCGUAGAUAUUCGGAAGAACACCAGUGGCGAAGGCGGUUCUCUGGGACGGUACUGACGCUGAGACGCGAAAGCGUGGGGAGCGAACAGG